AUUUAUAUCACCAGGAAAGUGCAUAACUGUUGUGUUCCUUGAAGUAUGAAUGUUUGCAGACGUCUGUAAACCUUCACAUGGGACUGACAUGUUCAAGAUAAUACCUUUGGAACUGGGUGAUGAACAAUAUGGAUGAUGGUCUUGGAAUAAACUGAAAAGACACCCUUUAUUUGUAAUCCUGUUUUUUUAAGCUGAGGACAGUAUUAUAUAACAACUCUACGAAUACCCUCAGUGUGAAUUUGAAGAACACAUAUAUCAAGUGCUACAAGAUAACAAGUGCAUUUCUAGGCAAGCUUUUUGAAAAGGUGUAUCAGCACUGUAUUGCUUAAUAACACUAUGCAAAUAGAUAUUCUGAUUUAAUUUUAAAAA